rnacentral:rRNA from 1 species
AUGGCUUCCAAGGCGAUGCUUGUCAUGGCGGUGGCGGCGACGGCGGUCGCCUUCCUCCCCUUGCCCGCCUCCGCCACCGUCCACGUCGUCGGCGACGGCAGCGGGUGGACGCUCGGGUUCGACUACACCGCCUGGUCCGAGAGCAACCAGUUCAGGGUCGGCGACGCCCUAGUGUUCAAGUACAACAAGGCCAACCAUAACGUGGUGGAGGUGAGCGGGCCGGACUUCAGGGCGUGCAACAGCGCCAAGGGCCUCGGCGCCUGGAACUCCGGCAGCGAUCAGGUCCAGCUCGCCAGCGCCGGCAGGAGGUGGUUCGUCUGCGCCGUGGGCAGCCACUGCGUUAUGGGCAUGAAGCUCAACGUCACCAUCCUCGCCGCCGACGCGCCUUCGCUUGCCCCUGCACCGGCACCGUCCUCGUCUUCUCACAAGUCCAGGCGGCCCUUUGUUACCAAGUGGUGA